rnacentral:rRNA from 1 species
GAUGAACGCUGGCGGCGUGCCUAAUACAUGCAAGUCGAGCGAACGGACGAGAAGCUUUCUUCUCUGAUGCUAGCGACGGACGGGUAAGUCACACGAGGAUAACUGAUCUAUAAGAAUGGGAUACCUUCGGGAAAGCGGAGAUAACAUCCGAUAAUAUUUUGAACCGCAUGGUUCUUCAGUGAUAGCCGGCCUUGCUGACCCUUGUACGUAGAUCCUGGCUGCAUUAGCUAGUUGGUAAGGUAACGGCUUACCAAGGCAACGAUGCAUAGCCGACCUGUGAGGAUGAUCGGCCACACUGGAACUGAGACACGGUCCAGACUCCUACGGGAGGCAGCAGUAGGGAAUCUUGGGCAAUGGGCGAAAGCCUGACGGAGCAAUGCCGCGUGAGUGAUGAAGGUCUUCGGAUCGUAAAGCUCUGUUAGUAGGGAAGAACAUAUGUGUAUUAAACUGUGGACGUCUUGACGUUACCUACUCAGAAAGCCACGGCUAACUACGUG